GUGUCAGCCGCCGCGGUAAUACGGAGGGUGCAAGCGUUGUUCGGAAUUACUGGGCGUAAAGCGCGUGUAGGCGGUUUGGUAAGUCAGAUGUGAAAGCCCUGGGCUCAACCCAGGAAGUGCAUUUGAAACUGCCUUACUCGAGUAUGGGAGAGGAGAGUGGAAUUCCCAGUGUAGAGGUGAAAUUCGUAGAUAUUGGGAGGAACACCCGUGGCGAAGGCGACUCUCUGGACCAAUACUGACGCUGAGACGCGAAAGCGUGGGGAGCAAACAGGAUUAGAAACCCCCGUAGUCC
rnacentral:rRNA from 1 species